rnacentral:rRNA from 1 species
GACGAACGCUGGCGGCGUGCUUAAUACAUGCAAGUCGAACGGAAAGGCCCUGCUUUUGUGGAGUGCUCGAGUGGCGAACGGGUGAGUAACACGUGAGUAACCUGCCCUUGUCUUUGGGAUAACUUCAGGAAACUGGGGCUAAUACCGGAUAGGAUCUCCUGCUGCACGGUGGGGGUUGGAAAGUUUCGGCGGUUGGGGAUGGACUCGCGGGUUAUCAGCUUGUUGGUGGGGUAGUGGCUUACCACGGGUUUGACGGGUAGCCGGCCUGGGAGGGUGACCGGGGACAUGGGGACUGAGAGACGCAGCAGAAUCCUACGGGAGGCAGCAGGGGGGAAUAUUGCACAAUGGGCGGAAGCCUGAUGCAGCAACGCCGCGUGCGGGAUGACGGCCUUCGGGUUGUAAACAGCUUUCGACUGUGACGAAGCGUGAGUGGCGGUAAUGGGUAAAGAAGCACCGGCUAACUACGUG